rnacentral:rRNA from 1 species
CCUACGGGAGGCAGCAGUGGGGAAUAUUGGACAAUGGGCGAAAGCCUGAUCCAGCAAUGCCGCGUGAGUGAUGAAGGCCUUAGGGUUGUAAAGCUCUUUUACCAGGGAUGAUAAUGACAGUACCUGGAGAAUAAGCUCCGGCUAACUCCGUGCCAGCAGCCGCGGUAAUACGGAGGGAGCUAGCGUUGUUCGGAAUUACUGGGCGUAAAGCGUACGUAGGCGGUUAUUCAAGUCAGAGGUGAAAGCCUGGAGCUCAACUCCAGAACUGCCUUUGAAACUAGAUAGCUAGAAUCUUGGAGAGGUGAGUGGAAUUCCGAGUGUAGAGGUGAAAUUCGUAGAUAUUCGGAAGAACACCAGUGGCGAAGGCGACUCACUGGACAAGUAUUGACGCUGAGGUACGAAAGCGUGGGGAGCAAACGAGGAUUAGAUACCCUGGUAGUCCACGCCGUAAACGAUGAUAACUAGCUGUUCGGGCUCUACGAGCUUGAGUGGCGCAGCUAACGCAUUAAGUUAUCCGCCUGGGGAGUACGGUCGCAAGAUUAAACUCAAAGGAAUUGACGG